rnacentral:rRNA from 1 species
UGAGGAAUAUUGCGCAAUGGGCGAAAGCCUGACGCAGCGACGCCGCGUGGAGGAUGAAGGUCUUCGGAUCGUAAACUUCUGUUAAGUGGGAAGAAAUGCAUUAGCCUAAUAAGCUAGUGAGAUGACGGUACCAUUAGAGAAAGCACCGGCUAACUUCGUGCCAGCAGCCGCGGUAAUACGAAGGGUGCAAGCGUUAUUCGGAUUUAUUGGGCGUAAAGGGUGCGCAGGCGGUAUGUUAAGUCAACUGUUAAAUUUCCCAGCCUAACUGGGAGCAAGCGGUAGAUACUGGCAUGCUAGAGGAUGGAAGAGAGAAGUGGAAUUCUCGGAGUAGCGGUAAAAUGCGUAGAUCUCGAGAGGAACACCGAUGGCGAAGGCAGCUUCUUGGUCCAUAUCUGACGCUCAUGCACGAAAGCGUGGGGAGCAAACAGGAUUAGAUACCCCCGUAGUCC